rnacentral:rRNA from 1 species
GACGAACGCUGGCGGCGUGCUUAACACAUGCAAGUCGAACGGAAAGGCCCUGCUUUUGUGGGGUGCUCGAGUGGCGAACGGGUGAGUAACACGUGAGUAACCUGCCCUUGACUUUGGGAUAACUUCAGGAAACUGGGGCUAAUACCGGAUAGGAGCUCCUGCUGCAUGGUGGGGGUUGGAAAGUUUCGGCGGUUGGGGAUGGACGCGCGGCUUAUCAGCUUGUUGGUGGGGUAGUGGCUUACCAAGGCUUUGACGGGUAGCCGGCCUGAGAGGGUGACCGGCCACAUUGGGACUGCGAUACGGCCCAGACUCGUACGGGAGGCAGCAGUGGGGAAUAUUGCACAAUGGGCGGAAGCCUGAUGAAGAAACGCCGCGUGCGGGAUGACGGCCUUCGGGUUGUAAACCGCUUUCGCCUGUGACGAAGCGUGAGUGACGGUAAUGGGUAAAGAGGCACCGGCUAACUACGUG